rnacentral:rRNA from 1 species
AAUAUCAGGAGGAACACCGAUGGCGAAGGCAGGUCUCUGGGCCACUACUGACGCUGAGAAGCGAAAGCAUGGGGAGCGAACAGGAUUAGAUACCCUGGUAGUCCAUGCCGUAAACGUUGGGCGCUAGGUGUGGGACUCAUUCCACGAGUUCCGUGCCGCAGCUAACGCAUUAAGCGCCCCGCCUGGGGAGUACGGCCGCAAGGCUAAAACUCAAAGGAAUUGACGGGGGCCCGCACAAGCGGCGGAGCAUGCGGAUUAAUUCGAUGCAACGCGAAGAACCUUACCAAGGCUUGACAUAUACCGGAAACUUCCAGAGAUGGUUGCCCCCUUUGGGUCGGUAUACAGGUGGUGCAUGGUUGUCGUCAGCUCGUGUCGUGAGAUGUUGGGUUAAGUCCCGCAACGAGCGCAACCCUUGUUCUAUGUUGCCAGCACGUGAUGGUGGGGACUCAUGGAAGACUGCCGGGGUCAACUCGGAGGAAGGUGGGGAUGACGUCAAAUCAUCAUGCCCCUUAUGUCUUGGGCUUCACGCAUGCUACAAUGGCCGGUACAAAGGGCUGCGAUGCCGUAAGGUGGAGCGAAUCCCAAAAAACCGGUCUCAGUUCGGAUUGGGGUCUGCAACUCGACCCCAUGAAGUCGGAGUCGCUAGUAAUCGCAGAUCAGCAACGCUGCGGUGAAUACGUUCCCGGGCCUUGUACACACCGCCCGUCAAGUCACGAAAGUCGGUAACACCCGAAGCCGGUGGCCCAACCCUUGUGGGGGGAGCCGUCGAAGGUGGGACUGGCGAUUG